UGCAGGGCUAAGCAUGCUCAGUGUAAAUUCUCCUGUAGCCUGUCAAGCUAUGUUUGAACUCAUUCCAGAAUACUGGAUUUACUUUUUUUUUUCCACAAGGAAGAAUAAUGCCUGAUUAGUCUGCAUUUUGCUUUCUUUCUUUCUUUCUUCUUCUUCUUCUUUUUUUUUUUUCGGUGUAGGGCACCAGAAGAUUGGAAACAAUAUUCUUUUCUGAUCAGUUCAGUAAUACAAUGUCCUUGAAUGUUCAUAUGAGCAUUUCAGUGGAGAAGAAAAGAAACUUUGCUACCUGAGAACUGAAGACUACUUAGCCCAGUGCACAGAGCACUUUCAUACUACAAUCAAAACCUACACAGAUUUCAGGCAUUUGGAGUUUGCAUCUCCAUGGCACUGGAGGGGUCAAGCCUGAGAAAAUUUCUGCCAUUUGGAGUUUGGAUAUCCAUGACACGAGAAAGAGGGAAGAGUAUAAAGAACUCUGGGAUACUGUAUGCUUGGGAACUCGGACUCAAUGAGGAUAGGAAUUAUACCCUCACAUCUUCAAUUUAAACUCUCUAACUCCUCUUUUUAUUCCCAGUCCAAAAGUCAUUCCUUCUUGAAAGAGAAAACAUAAGCAAAUGAAGAAUCUUCUCCACACAAUCAUCAGUUAUCCAUAUCCUAUUCACUUUAGACAGUGGUACUAUCCCUUCUUUGAUCCCCUUUUUUGCCUAUAAUGGCUAAAAACAACAUUUUGCAUUCAUCGCCCACCAGCCUCAGCUUGUGAUCAUUUUAGGAUUCUUGACACUGUUCGUAUUUUUUGUUGUUCAAUCAUUUUUCAGUUUGUAUCUGGCUCUUUGUGACCCUGUUUGGGGUUUUCUUG